ensembl:vault_RNA Vault Vault RNA
GCACUGGCUUAGUCCAGAGGUUACUUCUGAUUCAAAAUUGCAAUUUGACAAGAACUUCCCGCAAGGGAUCGAACCUCGGGCGCCGUCCAGUGUUUUA